UAUGUUGGCCAGACUGGUCUCAAACUCCUGACCUCAGGUGAUCCGCCUGCCUUGGCCUCCCAAAGUGUGGGAUUACAGGUGUGAGCCACCUCUGGCCUCAGUGUACAAUUUUUGUUCCUCAUGUCCCUCAUGUUAAGACAGAGGUAUGUAGAAGUGCCUAUCUGAGCACACAGCAGGGUCUCCUAGCCCAAAUACAGGAGUGAAGGGAGACUUCCUGGAGGGAUAAUUCUGAGCUGAGUCUUAAGGGUUUAUAGGAAUUAUUCUGAUGGAGAAGAAGUUAAGGAUUUCUGCACAAAAGAUGCAACUUGACCAAAGAUUUUGAAAGUGAGAGGGAACAUGGACUAUUGAGGAGCUGCAAGUAAUUCAGUGUGGCUGAAGCUCAAAUUCACGAUGGAACGUUGAAGGAGAUGAUGCUGGAAAGAGACAGAUAUACCAGAUGAUACAGGGCCUUGCAUGUCACACUAUGGGAGUUUAGAUACAAGGUGAACAUAAGAGUUGUGAUGGCUCAGGUUUUCAACUUGGGUCACUGAUGGGGAGUGGGGACAUAAGGGGCAAUGUAGAAGGAAGAGCUUUGGAUGAUAAUGGGGGGUUUAUGUUUUGACAUAAUGAGUGCAGACAUGUCUUGGAGACAGCUGGAUAUAUGAGUCUGGAGAUCAGAAGAGAAAUUGGUCAAGAUAAUGAAUUUGGGAGUUGUGAACAUACAGGUUGUAUCCAUAGGUAGGGAUGAGUCCACUGCAGGAAAGCGUAUAGAAUGAAAAGAGAUCAAAGCUAAGAAUAAAAUCCAGAGAAACUAUUUUCUUUAAAGAAUAAAUCAGUGGAGGAGAAAAUCUUGUGUCAUGGUGCCAAGGAAAAAGGAAGUUUCAAGAAGACAGAUUGGGGCAGCAGUUGCAAAUACCACAGAGAGGACAAAUUAAUUAAGCAUGAAUUCAGGAACAAGGGGAUCAUUACUAUUACCAAAAAUGUUGCACAGCAGCAGCAAGAAUGACAGCGACCACGUUUGAGCAUCAUCUUGGUAUGUCAGGUACUCGGCAUGUUAUAUAUGUUACCAUAUUUAAAUUGCACAUUAACAAUUUACAGAUCAGGUAACUAAGGCUUGAGCAGAUUAGGUGGCUCAUCCAAAGCUGUUCUGCUAUCCAGUGAUUGUCAGAUCUAAAUAAUUCAAUGUCUCUCCAUCACUCUGUCCUAAGAGAAUGCAGACUAUGAGACAAAAGAUACAUGACACAGCAGAACUUUGCCUAGGUGGUAUCUCACUUUUAUCUCCUGUGCUGUAUUAUCAGUUGAUGAGAUGGAUUAUAUGUGAUUAUAAUAAUAAAUUUUCUGACUCUUAUACAUUAACACCUUACAAAUAAGUAGGUGGAUGUAUUCCAGUGGAAUUUACCUUAUCCCUACCACCAGCAGAGACAUUGCAAAUGUUUACUAACUGGUAAGACCUAGACAGUGACCAAUCCAAAACAUAUCUUCUCCCCCGGAGCCAGGUCCUAGAGGCCCCCUGCUGUGCCACGUGGUACCCUUUAGUUGCUGGAUGGUGGGAACUUAGAGGAAAAUGGGGAAUGGAUAGAGAGCAGCAACUAGCCGACAUGGAAGUGGCAUCAUGGACCAGGAGUUGUGAACGAAAUAAAGACUGUGAAACUUU